rnacentral:rRNA from 1 species
GAUGAACGCUGGCGGCGUGCCUAAUACAUGCAAGUCGAGCGAACGGACGAGAAGCUUGCUUCUCUGAUGUUAGCGGCGGACGGGUGAGUAACACGUGGAUAACCUACCUAUAAGACUGGGAUAACUUCGGGAAACCGGUGCUAAUACCGGAUGAUCUUUUGAACCGCAUGGUUCAAAAGUGAAAGACGGUCUUGCUGUCACUUAUAGCUGGAUCCGCGCUGCAUUAGCUAGUUGGUAAGGUAACGGCUUACCAAGGCAACGAUGCAUAGCCGACCUGAGAGGGUGAUCGGCCACACUGGAACUGAGACACGGUCCAGACUCCUACGGGAGGCAGCAGUAGGGAAUCUUCCGCAAUGGGCGAAAGCCUGACGGAGCAACGCCGCGUGAGUGAUGAAGGUCUUCGGAUCGUAAAACUCUGUUAUUAGGGAAGAACAUAUGUGUAAGUAACUGUGCACAUCUUGACGGUACCUAAUCAGAAAGCCACGGCUAACUACGUG